rnacentral:rRNA from 1 species
GUGGGGAAUCUUGCACAAUGGGCGAAAGCCUGAUGCAGCAACGCCGCGUGAGCGAAGAAGGCCUUUGGGUCGUAAAGCUCUGUCCUAAGGGAAGAAGGAAGUGACGGUACCUUAGGAGGAAGCCCCGGCUAACUACGUGCCAGCAGCCGCGGUAAUACGUAGGGGGCAAGCGUUAUCCGGAAUUAUUGGGCGUAAAGAGUACGUAGGCGGUUCUUUAAGCGCAGGGUUUAAGGCGAUGGCUUAACUAUCGUUCGCCCUGUGAACUGGGGGACUUGAGUAUCGGAGAGGAAAGCGGAAUUCCUAGUGUAGCGGUGAAAUGCGUAGAUAUUAGGAGGAACACCAGUGGCGAAGGCGGCUUUCUGGACGAAAACUGACGCUGAGGUACGAAAGCGUGGGGAGCAAACAGGA